AUAUAUUAAAAAUUCAAAGAACUUCCACCAAUAAAUUCCCACCUUCCAUCGGAGACAAGGAAAAAAGUGAAAACAACCCACUCAGACAACCAACCCCUUCGUGAGCAGUGAAUUUCCAUUUUCGGUUUCAUUUCGUUCCGAACCAAAUCAGCGACCGAACUGGACUGGAUUUGCUUAUUUUCCUGCGCUGAAUCUUGCGCUUUCGUUUUGGCUCCUUCGCAUCGCAUCGUUGGCCGUCGUCGCCGUCGUUAUUUAUGUAAUAUUGCCGCACGCGGUGGCCAAUUUCGGACUGCUCGGCCACAUUAUGCAAAUGGACUUCGUUCGUUCGGUGAAGUUCGCGGUUUCUUGGCUUAGGUAAACAUUGAUUCGUAGGCGCUGCUGGCUGAUUGUUAUGGUUAUGUGUGGAUUUGAAAUUUUAUUAUUACGGUUUUCGGGCGAUUGGUGCAAUUGUUGGCUUUGGAGAUUAACUCCCCAGUGCGAUGGUGAUACCGAAAGUUGGAAAGAAGUCACAAUCUGCAUUAGUUUGGUCGGGCAUUGAAACGAAUUCGUACGUUUAAAGGAUCAUUUUCAAUCUGUGUUUUCUGUGUUCACAGAUUUUCAUUUUAUGGCCUCAUGUUUCAUCGGAGACCUCCCAUGGCGGCAGCAAGCGACGAACCGUCAAGCAUAGCUUACUUCAAUAAAAAUUAUCUCUACCAUUAUUCCGCCCGCAACCGGGAAGUAGUUUGGUGUUGAAUUUAUGCGAUUUUCUGCGGACCGCGUUGGCUUACCCAGUUAUUUGAAUAAGCAGUCCACAGUUCUGUUUGUUCACCAAACGAUGGACUCUGCACGUCUGUCUUCGCAAACCACUCGUCCCCAAAUGUAAGCAAUGCAAACAAAGCUGACCGAGAAGCGGACUAGUAGUAGCCCGAAAUCGUAACCAACAACCAGUGCGAAUUAGAAAUUCAAAUUUUUGAUCGUUUAUUUAUAGAGCACAGUGGCUGAAUUUAUAACCGUGCGAAAAAUUAUGUCAUUCAAAGCUUUUUUGGCCAAUGGACCCGGUUUCUCUGAAGACCUGUCCUGUUGAGCGAAAUCCGAUUUAAUUUUCCUCUCUAUAGCUUUUUUCCUUGCAACAACUGUUGAAUUAAAGAUUUUCUUGUCAAAUUUGCCAAAUUGUUUUUUUUGGAAUUCGAACAAUUUGUUUUACUGGCAACACUUUACACGAACUGUCAAACCGAUACGUCCAGUGUUGCCAAAAACGCUGCAAGCGUUUUCUAGAGGGUUGAGAAUGUAACAAAAGCACGAAAAACUCUAUUUAUUAUGAAAUUACUGGCAUGCGAGCAGUGUCAUUGUAAGCUUCAAGUUUCAUUUGUGGUAGGUAUCUAAUGGAAAAGAUCUAUUUGAAUGACAGUGAAAUUUCUCCAAGCAAAACAAAAACUUUCAAUCAACGUACCCCAUUUCUACAUGAAUGAAAUCAACAAGUCAUCGAAAUCUUUACCUUUUUGCUCCUUUCUCACCAGUAGGUAGUAUUGUGUCGUCCGAGAGGAGAAAACUCUUUUCAAAGCGACGAAUGGAGAACCUUGUCGAUGUUGAUUGAAAUCACUUUUCUUCUUGUGACAGGCUUAAUACAGCUACUACUGUACUGUGCUGUGGUGUGUUUGUUAUUACUAAUGGACUCCAAAUAGCGAAAGUGCGCUCGCAGCCGUUCGUUCUCAGCGAUAUAAUUACAGCUCACUUUGCUACCUUUAUCCUCUUUUAUUGGAUUCCCUCGUAUCGAAACCGGCGCGCACUUGAGACAAGAAAUAUCGUUUAGAUUUCAAAAGAAAAUAAACUGUCCAAGGGUUCGAUCAUCGAUCGUCUCGGUAGUUCAUGCUGAAGGCAGCACAAGAAGCAGCAAUGAGAGAGAAAAAAUCACAGCUCAAUGGACGAGUCAUCGUAAUAAAUGCUCCGGUGAUUGAAGAUGAUCUACUUUUACGAUCGUUUGCCGAGGGAGAGAUGUGAAUUUGAUGGGGCUUUUAUUGUCGCUAAUUGAAUUAUAAAUGCUUGGCAAUUAUGCGAUGGGACUCAAUACAGCAUUUAUCAUUGCAAUGCAGGGAGCUGAUCUUGGAACAUAGGAAGCAAUGUAUGAAUAAUGACGUCCUGACAUCUCUUCUUUUCAGAAAGGGUGCCAGAUAUUCUUUUUUAUUUACUCGCAAAAAAAACUACCCUUUGUAUAAGCAUUUUAUCGAGUUUUUAGCUACAUUCACAGGAAGACAAGGUGAUUUGAAACGACCGUCACAAAAGAUUUGUAUUGCAUCCCUACACUGAUUUAUGCCACAAGCAACUAUCAAUUUCGCACAUAUCACAACUGAUUUAGCAAACAUACUCUUUCAUUUUUGUAAGAAAAAGAGAAAUGAGGGAAAAAAAAUAAAAAAAUAUUUCCAAUCCAAAAUUCUAAAUAUUUGGUAAGAUUCAAAGGUUCUUGCAAAGUGGAGUUUCUGGUGCUUCUCGAAACUCUCAAGUAUCAAAAGAAUUUCUGAUAUGAAUUGCAGCCAGCUUUCAAAGAAAAAAAAAACAGAAAAAGGGAAAACCACUGCUGCCGUUUUGGUAACGAUUGCCAAAACUUCCAAAAAAAAUCUGAAAAUACAAGAAGCAAACUAAGUACUAAAUUAACAGGAAUUCUGCAGUAGACUCUGAGAUACAUGAUCGAUUAAGGCUUUUUACGGCAUCAUCAGCGUCGGCAGCCAUGUUGGAUAUGUGGCUCGAAAUUUCAAAGUGAUAAUUCUCAGCCACGAAAGCGAAUAUUCGUAUGAAAAAGUAUCAUCCUACAUGCUCACUCGCAGUGAUUGCGAUGAUACUUUUUCAGCUGCGAUACAGCAGUAUUAUCAGUUUUUCAUCACUUCAAAAACGCGAGGCAAACAAUCAUUGAAAAGUAAAAUAUUAAUGAUUCGUUUGAAAACUCAGUGAUGCAUUAUGACACCUUAAGUGAAAUGUUCUGAAGAUUUUAAAUAUUUAUAAAAUUCGGAAAAAGUAAAAUCCGUUUUUUUUGUUUGUUGAAUUGUUGUAGAAAUUUGAAGAGUAUUUUUAACGUUAAUACGUUACCAAAACUGAGCUCUGAUCCGACGGGUGGAUACGAACGGAAAAACAACAACAUCGUACACAGACUACACGCACUAAAACUAAUAGACACCCGAACAAAAUACACACUCACUAGCUACAACGCCGUGUGCCCUCGAAUAUACGGACAACCCAAAGCACACAAGCCCAAUUUACCUCUCAGGCCAGUGGUCCCCAACACAACGUCUCCAACGUACCAUCUUUGCAAAUACAUUGCCGGUAUACUCCAGAGAUCGUUCAAAAGCCAGUACAACGCGGUUGACUCAAACACGUUUUGCGAACAUGUCAAUCAACUAACGAUACCACCCGAUCAUGUGCUAGUGUCAUUCGAUGCGGUGUCACUGUUUACAAACGUGACGAAAGAGGUGGUUAUCCACGACAUAAUUUCCAUGUGGGAUGAAAUACGAGAGAACACCAAUAUAAAUUUGGAUCUUUUUCUCGAAAUUGUUGAUUUCUGCGUAGGAGCCAGUUGCUUUUGUUUCCGGCAAAAAUUUUAUGUCCAAAUAUCAGGCACAGCUAUGGGAAGUCCACUCUCUCCCAUUCUUGCCGACAUAGUAAUGGAGAAUUUGUUGAGAAGAGCAAUAACAGCGGCCAAUAUUCUACCAGAGUAUAUCCGCAAAUACGUUGACGACCUAUUCUUGGUUUUACACAAGGAUCAGGUGAAUGCGGUGUUGGCAACCUUCAACUCACAAAACCCGAGAAUUUUGUUCACGUGUGAAGUUGAAGAAAAUGGGCGACUACCAUUUCUCGAUCUGCUAGUAAUACGGGACGAGGAUGGUAGCGUUAAAACCGAUUGGUACGCCAAACCAAUAUCAUCCGGCAGGAUUCUCAACUACUACUCCUUCCAUCCGAGCGAUCAAAAACUGGCGGUAGUCAACAAUUUCAUCGACAGGGUCCGUAGGUUGAGCACCACUCGCAGCAGGGAAGAGCAAGAGCUACUCAUUCACCAGCACCUCAGCAAAAACGAUUACCCUCAUUCUCUCAUCAACCGACUCCUUCAUCAACCACCUCGUACAGACAACCCGGAAAAACCAACAAUCUACCGAUCAAUCCCAUAUGUCCAUGGUCUCAGCUCUAGCAUCAAGAGAAUACUCCACAAGAGCAACACACAAAUAGGAAUCUCCCACAGCUACAAAAACACAGUAGGGCAUCUUUAUAAGAAUGCAAAGGACCCGGUAUCUGAUCUCAGCAAAUGCAACGUCAUAUACCGGAUCGACUGUCGGGAUUGUCCAAGCACAUAUAUUGGGAUGACAACAAAUAAGCUGAGGAAUUGAAUGUACGGACAUCAAACACACGUCAACACACUGGAGAGAAAGUUAUUGGAAGGCCAUCAAUACACAGAUCCGGAAAUACUACAGCUUCAAGAAAAAUCUGCGCUAAUCCACCACUGCAUCCAGCACCAACACCGAUUCAAUAUUGGCAACCCCUCCAUCGUCGAUAUAACACAUAGGAAACAAGCUCUGCAAGUGUUGGAGAUGUGUCACAUCUCGACAACCUCCAACACGGUCAACCAUCGGACUGAUACCGACAAUCUAAGCUGUGCGUACGCACAUCUCCUCGCUUCGAUCAAAGAUCAGAGAGUAGAGAGAAUUGCGUUGUCAACAAACCGAAAUAAUCGACGAGAAACAGAUGAUCAAACAGCUGACCCAACUACCUAACCCACACUAACAAAUCCUACCACCCAAAUUACACCAAAGAUACACACCCCACAGUAAAAUCCGAACGGCGAUUGAUAACAGCCGCAGUGUUGUGUUCCGCUGAUUUCUUGUCCCGAGUGUCUCCCUUUCGUACCACCCACCCAACAUCCCACUAGGGUGCUGGUGAUGAACGAGAAAAGUGCAGUGUCUUUUAGAAUCCGACAAACGAUCGUGUGCAAAAUACGAUUAUCACAAGUUGAUUAAGAUCGAGCCCUGAGGAAGAUCCCAACCCAAGGAUCGAAACGUUGGCAAUGAUAUAGAAGUAUCAACGCUUUUUCCGUGACUGAAAGCCAAAAAACUCCCAUAGUUAUCAAAAAUCCCAGUCGAAUCUUUCCAAAAUAUAAAAACUCAUAUUCCGUCAAUCAAUCAAAAUUUUCGAAAACGCAAUUGCUCAUUGCCUCUUUCCAAGAGAAUAAGUGGCCAUUCAGUUUCACCAACCUAAGGUAAUCCAAAAAAAAAUGGCCAAAAAUUUGUAAUUCGUGAUUUUUACAGCACAUUGGAUUCCGUAGAUAAUUGUGCGAGUUUACACCGAUUUUGUCUGUGGAGUGAAGGGUUACAGCAGGAUUCUCUCAGAAUCCUGACGAGGAUUCUCUCAGAAUCCUGCCGAGGAUUCUCUCAGAAUCCUGCCGAGGAUUCUCUCAGAAUCCUGCCGAGGAUUCUCUCAGAAUCCUGCCGAGGAUUCUCUCAGAAUCCAGCCGAGGAUUCUUUCAGAAUCCUGCCGAGGAUUCUCUCAGAAUCCUGCCGAGGAUUCUCUCAGAAUCCUGACGAAGAUUCUCUCAGAAUCCUGACGAGUAUUCUCUCAGAAUCCUGACGAGGACUCUCUCAGAAUCUUGUCGAGGAUUCUCUCAGAAUCCUGACGAGGAUUCUUGUGACGAGAAUUCUCUCAGAAUCCUGACGGGAAUUCUCUCAGAAUCCUGACGGGGAUUCUCUCAGAAUCCUGACGGGGAUUCUCUCAGAAUCCUGACGAGUAUUCUAAGUAUCCAGACGAGGUUUCUCUCAGAAUCCGGACAAGGAUUCUCUCAGAAUCCUGAUGCCAAUCCAAUAAAUGCCGUGCCAUUUUUCAAAAUGUUGUGCAUUACCAAAUCGUAAGAAAACCGACCUAUUUCAUGUUAAAUAUUUUUUGUUCCAUCCUUACACUCUGUGAUAAGGAGACUUCUCCCAGAAAAUCCCUCCGAAUAAAAGAAAUGUUUCAGAGAUUCUUUCAGAAAUUUGUCCGGGCAUUUCGCAGAAAUUUAUCUAUAAUCUAUGGUUCUAGAGGGCAAUGUAGUGUUGCCUCAAAAGACUUUAACAAGGUAGAGGGAAAAGGGUCUCUUACGGGUAGAACCCAAGAAUUCGUGUAUUCAAAGCAGAAACUGAAGGUAUAUGUAAGUACCAAAUGCGCCUUUUAUGCAUUUCUAGAUUUUUUGUAAAUGUUAUAAAAAAAAAUGACGUAUUCGAAUAUUACAACUGCCAGCGAAAUCAUGUUUGAAAUUUUGGUUCAAAACUCAAUAGUAGCACCUAUGGCGUCUAACUUGCUUCUUCUUCAGCUCAAUGCAAAACAACUGAUUAAUCAAAAGAUCAGAUACGAGUGCAGGGCGAUGAGCGCCAAAAGUCACCCUUAUUAUAUUUGUGUCUUGACAAAAACCAAAAAUGGGAAAAUAAAUAACCAUAAACCGUUAUUGCCUACCAAAACCACAUUUCGGUUCGCUCCGGAAGGGUUGAGAUAAAAAAACAAACAAAAACCCAAUCCGAUUGUCUUCCAAUUCGCUACACCCUGACAAAGUAGCGUAGUACGCUAAUACCUAAAGUGUAUCAUUCGCCUCGGCCAUAUAUCAUUUGCAUUGCACGUUUCGCCGCGUGGACUUUAUCCUAUUAAAAUAAAAUCACAAACUCGUUUCGCGUCCAACCAACUAACCAACCGGCAGCCCCUCGCGCAUAUCCGGCUCUAAGACCUUAAGGCUCGAUCGAAGCGGGGUGGAGCGAGCGAGCGUACCUACGCUCCUAACACUUUGUUUCAGGGAAAACAACUAAAUCAUGCCGCCGGAGAGCGCUGCGUCAAGGUCCAACCACGACGACGACUUAGCAUUGAUUGCCUUGAACAACGACGAUGACAACGACGACACUGCACUGCAAACUGUGGCUGUCGGUUGAAUUCGCGUGGAAUUCAAUUUGAACUUGGAAACAAAAGACCACGACACUGAUAUGCCG